rnacentral:rRNA from 1 species
UAAUAGCUCACUGGUCGAGUCGGCCUGCGCGGAAGAUGUAACGGGGCUAAACCAUGCACCGAAGCUGCGGCAGCGACACUGUGUGUUGUUGGGUAGGGGAGCGUUCUGUAAGCCUGCGAAGGUGUCCCGUGAGGGAUGCUGGAGGUAUCAGAAGUGCGAAUGCUGACAUAAGUAACGAUAAAGCGGGUGAAAAGCCCGCUCGCCGGAAG